rnacentral:rRNA from 1 species
UUUGUCCUACGGGACGCAGCAGUGGGGAAUUUUGCGCAAUGGGGGAAACCCUGACGCAGCAACGCCGCGUGCGGGACGAAGGCCCUCGGGCUGUAAACCGCUUUCAGCAGGGAAGACAUCGACGGUACCUGCAGAAGAAGCUCCGGCUAACUACGUGCCAGCAGCCGCGGUAAUACGUAGGGGGCGAGCGUUAUCCGGAUUCAUUGGGCGUAAAGCGCGCGUAGGCGGCCGCCUAAGCGGAACCUCUAACCCCGGGGCUCAACCUCGGGCCGGGUUCCGGACUGGGCGGCUCGAGUGCGGUAGAG